ACAAGUACCGUGAGGGAAAGUUGAAAAGCACUUUGAAGAGAGAGUUAAAGAGGACGUGAAACCGGUAGGAUGGAAACGGAUAGAGCUAGCGAAGUCGCUCGCAUUCAGCCGAAGGCCUAUGGUCGCCGGUGGUCUGGUUGCUAAUCACGCCAGGCUGCCGUCCGGCUGUGGGCUGAGGUGCAUUUGCGGGCGUAUGCGCUGAGACUGGUGGGGUCGCUGCUGGACCCGUGCCCUAGAGGCCGCCCUCUGGGCGGAACCUGGUCGCGGUUACGGCUGUUGGCCCUGCUUGUGUGCUUUUGUGCGGCGGGUCUUGGCUGCGCCGCUGUUUUCAGGCGGUGGUAUCGCAUGCGAUGCCUAGCUUGGGGACUGUGGUUCGGUCCGGGUUCCUGCGCAGCAUCUCGGUGUAGUAGCUGGUUCCUUCCGA
rnacentral:rRNA from 1 species